rnacentral:lncRNA from 1 species
GUAAGUCUAAUCAUAUUUUCUUGAUAUUGGUAAAAAAUUAAUAAAUUAUAAAGUUAAAAUUGUAAUGGAUAGAUGGUCGGUCGGUUGUAGUGUCAUGCGAUUUUUAUAGAAUAAUAAAUGCGUUAGAUUUUUACAGAUUCAUUUAAACAGAUUUUUACACAUUUUUACAGAGUAUUAAAGGGUAUUAAAUAGUCAGAGUAAUCCGAAUAUUAAACCUGAUAUUAACGUCGAAUCUUUACCUUGUUUUCACAGGAUUUUCACGAGAUUUGCACCGUUUUUAAGGAGAUGGGUCAGGAUUACUAACAUCUGGUUACGAUGGCACCUGCAGAACCCUAUUUGAUGGGUCUCAUGUAGUCAUGAUCAGUAUCCAUUUUCAGAUGGGAAUCCUGCAGAACAUCGAUCAGAUUGUUACGACGGCAAAUAACAAAAGAGUAAUAGAGUAAACGAUGAAGAAUAAGAUGUAGAGGCCGACUAAAAAUUUAUACCAUUGUUAUCGGAAGAAAAAGAUGUAGAUGGUGACUAAAAAUUUAAACCAAAUUAAUCGACAGUCUAACCUUGGUAAACCUACAAAAGUUAAACCACGCUCAGAUUUUUCCACCUUCUUACAUCCUCCGAAAAAGCUGCAAAAGGAGACAAGAAUGAUUUCGAUUCGACGUGCGCAGACUUGCUCUCGAUAGAUGAUUGACGUAUGCAGAGUGCGACAGUGAAAAGACUAGACCUGAAAAUAUUAUUCUAAUACAAUAAAUUUAAUUUAUAAAAGCCCGUUGUCAAAUUUACCAAUACUUUCACAUAACGUAUUUCAGACAUUGUCUUAAACUAAAUGUAACAAAUUUAUUACUAUAGAUUUGACCGUUGAUUAAUUAUGCACCCAAAUUUUUUACCAUAAUAAGAUUUUAAAAAGUCGGUGGAAUUCUAGAAAUUCGAAAUACCGAAAUCGAAUUACUGAAACGAUUUCAGGAUAAUUUUUCGAUAAUCCAAAUCUAUAUAAUUAAUGUGAAAUUAUAAAGUGAUGGGUAUUAAUGGAAGAAUAAUAUAACCGAAUAGUAUAAACCGAAUAGUAUCUACUUUCGGAUAUACUAACCGAAUUAGAUAUAUCCGAAUAAUUAUCCGGUUAUAUCCAGAUAAAAUAUUUCGGAUAUAUAUUGGGUUCUAAUUUAUUUGGAUAAAUCCCUACCGAUUUUAUUAUGGUCAAUCUUUCCCGAUCUACUCCAAAAUCCCUACCACCCGGUCUACGCAGGCGACAGGAUAACCAGACCGGCCCGCCGCGUUCUGGAUUUACCUAAAUAGUCAAAGAAGUCAUCCCUCGAUAAUCUGUAAAUUGAUAAUCAAUAGGUAUUUUUAAUCAUUAAAUAAAAUAAAGUAAUCGGAUUGCAGGCAGCCUGUAUAAUUUUCCAAAACAAUCUACAUGUAAUGAAUAUCCGUCAAAAGUUCUUGGAGAACAUCAUUAAACGAAAGAAACGGAGGAAUAAAACCUAGAAUCUCGUAGACGAAAUCUACCAUACAGCUGUGUGUUAAAAUAAACUGUUGCCUAACACCUAACGAAAAACUCGAGAACAUAAACCCAAAAUAAUCCCUUACCUCCGCUUUUAUAUUCUCCAAAGAAAAUAAGGUAUGUCUCCGGUGAUGUUGUUCUUCCACUUCGCCCAUGACGGAAUCAUUUGGAAUGGGUAAUCGGCAACAUGAUUUACAAAUCAUACAGGUUUUGAGAUAUACGAGAUUGCCUGGUGGAGUUGAUAUAUGAGACUGCCUGGUGGAGUUGAUAUACGAGACUGCUUGGUGGAGUUGAUAUACGAGACUUCAUGGUACAAGACCAACGAAGAAUUUCGAAAUUAGGGAUGAAUUGAAAAUAGGGUUAUGCAGUCUGUAUAUGAUUUUGGUUAAAAUUCAUUUCCUCAUAAAUGGGUUAUAAUUGAUUGACCGAUUAAUGCAUCUCACCCGAUUAUUUAUGUUUGAGGGUUUAUUUGUCAUUACCUAUUUGCCUCCCAAUGUCGAUACUACGAGGUAUUAAAAUCUGCAAGAACCCCUUCCAUUAUUAAUUUGCGAUAACCCAUUUCGAUUGUAAAAAGAACCCAUUCCGAUU